AUUGAACCCUGGCGGCAGGCUUAACACAUGCAAGUCGAGCGGAGAUGAGGUGCUUGCACCUUAUCUUAGCGGCGGACGGGUGAGUAAUGCUUAGGAAUCUGCCUAUUAGUGGGGGACAACAUUCCGAAAGGAAUGCUAAUACCGCAUACGUCCUACGGGAGAAAGCAGGGGAUCUUCGGACCUUGCGCUAAUAGAUGAGCCUAAGUCGGAUUAGCUAGUUGGUGGGGUAAAGGCCUACCAAGGCGACGAUCUGUAGCGGGCCUGAGAGGAUGAUCCACCACACGGGGACUGAGACACGGCCCAGACUCCUACGGGAGGUAGCAGUGGGGAAUAUUGGACAAUGGGGGGAACCCUGAUCCAGCCAUGCCGCGGGUGUGAAGAAGGCCUUAUGGUUGUAAAGCACUUUAAGCGAGGAGGAGGCUACUGAGACUAAUACUCUUGGAUAGUGGACGUUACUCGCAGAAUAAGCACCGGCUAACUCUGUGCCAGCCGCCGCCGUAAUAC
rnacentral:rRNA from 1 species